AGGUCAGGCCUUUCAGGCAUCCUCUCCCAAAACUUCCAAAGCCCGGUCGGCAACGACCGGGCCUUUUUUUCGCCUGC
rnacentral:sRNA from 1 species